CCUACGGGAGGCUGCAGUGAGGAAUAUUGGUCAAUGGCCGAGAGGCUGAACCAGCCAAGUCGCGUGAGGGAAGACGGCCCUACGGGUUGUAAACCUCUUUUGUCGGGGAGCAAAGCGAACCACGUGUGGCUCAUUGAGAGUACUUGAAGAAAAAGCAUCGGCUAACUCCGUGCCAGCAGCCGCGGUAAUACGGAGGAUGCGAGCGUUAUCCGGAUUUAUUGGGUUAAAAGGGUGCGCAGGCGGGGGUGUAAGUCAGCGGUAAAAUUGCGGGGCUCAACCCCGUACUGCCGUUGAAACUGCAUGCCUUGAGUGCGCGAGAGGUAGGCGGAAUGCGUGGUGUAGCGGUGAAAUGCAUAGAUAUCACGCAGAACUCCGAUUGCGAAGGCAGCAUACCGGCGCGCAACUGACGCUCAUGCACGAAAGCGUGGGUAUCGAACAGGAUUAGAUACCCCGGUAGUC
rnacentral:rRNA from 1 species